rnacentral:rRNA from 1 species
GACGAACGCUGGCGGCGUGCUUAACACAUGCAAGUCGAACGGAAAGGCCUUUCUUUUGUGGGGUGCUCGAGUGGAGCACGUGAGAAUCACCCGUGAGUAGGCUGACCAUAGCUGUAAGAUAACUCCAAUACACUGGAGCCAGUAGCGGAUAAGGAGUCCUGCGGCUUGGUGGGGGCUGGAGAGUUUGGGCGGAUGGGGAGGGGCAAGCGGCGUAUGAGCCUGUUGGUGGGGUAGUGGCUUACCAAGGCUUUGACGGGAAGCGGGCCGUAGCGGGUGACCGGCAGCAUUGGGACUGAGAUGCGGCCCAGACGCCUACGGGAGGCAGCAGUGGGGAAUAUUGCACCAUGGGCGGAAGCCUGAUGCAGCAACGCCGCGUGCGGGAUGACGGCCUUCGAGUUGUAGACCGCUUUCGCCUGUGACGAAGAGGGAGUGACGGUAAUGGGUAAAGAAGCACCGGCUAACUACGUG